AUUGUGCCAGCAGCCGCGGUAAUACGGAGGGUGCGAGCGUUAAUCGGAAUUACUGGGCGUAAAGCGAGUGUAGGUGGCUCAUUAAGUCACAUGUGAAAUCCCCGGGCUUAACCUGGGAACUGCAUGUGAUACUGGUGAUGCUAGAAUAUGUGAGAGGGAAGUAGAAUUCCAGGUGUAGCGGUGAAAUGCGUAGAGAUCCGGAGGAAUACCGAUGGCGAAGGCAGCUUCCUGGCAUAAUAUUGACACUGAGAUUCGAAAGCGUGGGUAGCAAACAGGAUUAGAUACCCUGGUAGUCCACGCCGUAAACGAUGUCUACUAGCCGUUGGGGUCCUUGAGACUUUAGUGGCGCAGUUAACGCGAUAAGUAGACCGCCUGGGGAAUACGGCCGCAAGGUUAAAACUCAAAUGAAUUGACGGGGGCCCGCACAAGCGGUGGAGCAUGUGGUUUAAUUCGAUGCAACGCGAAGAACCUUACCUGGUCUUGACAUAGUGAGAAUCUCUCANAGAUGAGAGAGUGCCUUCGGGAACUCACAUACAGGUGCUGCAUGGCUGUCGUCAGCCCGUGUCGUGAGAUGUUGGGUUAAGUCCCGCAACGAGCGCAACCCUUUUCCUUAUUUGCCAGCGGGUUAAGCCGGGGACUUUAAGGAUACUGCCGGUGACAAACUGGAGGAAGGCGGGGACGACGUCAAGUCAUCAUGGCCCUUACGACCAGGGCUACACACGUGCUACAAUGGUAGGUACAGAGGGUUGCUACACAGCGAUGUGAUACUAAUCUCAAAAGCCUAUCGUAGUCCGGAUUGGAGUCUGCAACUCGACUCCAUGAAGUCGGAAUCGCUAGUAAUCGCGGAUCAGAAUGCCGC
rnacentral:rRNA from 1 species